rnacentral:rRNA from 1 species
UACAGAGGUCCCGAGCGUUGUUCGGAUUCAUUGGGCGUAAAGGGUGCGUAGGCGGUCUUCUAAGUUUGAUGUGAAAUCCCGGGGCUCAACCCUGGAAUUGCAUUGAAUACUGGAGGACUAGAGUACCGGAGAGGAAACUGGAAUUUACGGUGUAGCAGUGAAAUGCGUAGAGAUCGUAAGGAAGACCAGUGGCGAAGGCGAGUCUCUGGACGGUAACUGACGCUGAGGCACGAAGGCCAGGGGAGCAAACGGG